CUUGGUCAUUUAGAGGAAGUAAAAGUCAUAACAAGGUUUCCGUAGGUGAACCUGCGGAAGGAUCAUUAAUAGUGCCCUCUGAUGCAAAUCAUUGGGUUAGAUCUGCUCUCUUCGCAAGAAGAGGGUUUCCAUACACACCGUGAACUGUGGCUUCGGCCAUCACAAACUGUUAGUAAUGAAUGUAAUAUCAUAACAAAAACAAAACUUUUAACAACGGAUCUCUUGGCUCUCGCAUCGAUGAAGAACGCAGCGAAAUGCGAUAAGUAAUGUGAAUUGCAGAAUUCAGUGAAUCAUCGAAUCUUUGAACGCACCUUGCGCCCUUUGGUAUUCCGAAGGGCAUGCCUGUUUGAGUGUCAUGAAACCUCACCCCACUUGGGUUUUUGCCUGAGCGGUGGUGUAUUGGGUGUUGCCUUGCUAAAGGCUCGCCUUAAAGACAUAAGCACCUUGGAUGUAAUACGUUUCAUCCUUCUGGGUGGCUGAUAACCCCA
rnacentral:misc_RNA from 1 species